rnacentral:tRNA from 1 species
ACUUAAAUAGCUUAGUUUUAGAGAGCGUAACGUUGAAGGUGUUAGGGUGAAAUUUUUCUUUGAGUG